rnacentral:tRNA from 1 species
GAGGUUGUGGCUCAGAGAUAGAGUGCUCACCUACCAAGCAUGAGGCACUGGGUUCAAUCCUCAGCACCACA